rnacentral:rRNA from 1 species
AAUAGCCUAACGGCUGAACCAGCAACUUGGAGGAAUGUAUAGGGAAAACUGGUAAAAUGUGAUGUACCUAGUAAUAUUAGUGAUUAAUACGAGAUUAACUAAGUUAAUUAAAAUUCUAAGUAGAUAUGUGAUUAUGACAAUAUGUGCUUAUGUCUUGACCAAGUCACGUGCCAGCGGUCGCGGUAAUACGUGGAAGAUUAGUGUUAUUCAUCUUUAACAGGUUUAAAGGGUACCUAGACGGUUAAUUAAGCUGUAGAAGGUACUAAUUAACUAGAGUUUAAUGUAAGAAAGAUUGAGUACGGUGAGUGUAGAGAUAAAAUUCAGUCAUACCACUUAGGAACUGGUAAA